CCAUGACUGCCAAAGAUUAUCCAUCAUUGUGGGGCUAUGGAGCAACAAAAACAUUCAACAUUCCUGUUGAACAUUUGGAUUUCAAGUAUAUUGAAAAAUGUUCAGACAUUAAAUACCUGGAAAAAAUUCUUUAUGUGCUCAGGUCUGGUGAGGAAGGAUAUUAUCCUGAACUUACAGAAUUUUGUGAAAAGCGCCUUCAAGGCUUAGCUCCUGGGAGUAGAGCUCUGAGGAAAGAUAAACCUGCAGCGACAGCAUCCAGUUUUACAACGGAAGAAUGGGAAGAAAUUGAUGGGGACAUAAAGGUAGAGGGUAACACAGGUCUUUGACAGACAUUGCAGUGAUGUUGUAGAUGUGUCUGCUUCACUUAACUGAAAUCUUAGGCUUCUUGUUCGUCAGUAAAUGGCCCUUAGUGGUAAUUACUUAGGAAGUAUCGAUUUCUUCUUACAC
rnacentral:lncRNA from 1 species